GUCUAUGGCCAUGCUACCCUGAAGUGCCCAAUCUCAUCUGAUCUCGGAAGCUAACCAGGGUCAGGCCUGGUUAGUACUUGGAUGGGAAUACCAGGUGUUGUAGUCA
rnacentral:rRNA from 1 species